CCUCCUAGAGUGCUAGGAUUACGGCGUGAGCCACCAUGCUGGCCUUACACAGAUUUUAAGCUGUUUAUUCUCUACCGUCCCCAUUAGUUAAACAUCCAUCGAGCAUUAAUUCAGCACCUACUCUUAUUAAUGGAAAGGGGAAGGAUUACAUAUGUAAUCCAUUAGAGUAUUACAAAACAACAAAGCCCAGCUUAUAUUUAGCUAUGGAAUACACAAUACUGUUCAGGUAGCAUUGACUUUUGUAGCUGUUUUGUUUAUGUUAAUUUUCUAACUUGCAUUCCCUGAGCUCUUAUUAAGCAGUCAAGGUUGGCAGAUUAGGAAAGUAUCAUGUGAAACUACACUAGAAUUAACAAGGCUGAAGGAGAACCCAGGGUGAAGUCAGAUUGCUACCAUUUUUGACCCUGUCACUAGUAAUGAAACCUUGCAAAACCUCAAUUUCAUCAUCUACAAAAUGGGGAUAAUCAGCACGUAUCAUUGCUUUCCCACAGGGCGGUGAGGACAUGCAGGAUGAUAUAAGGAAAUAUCUCAUUGUGAGGACUCUGCAUGAGGUCACAUUGGCAAAGCACCAACACAGGGUCUGGCACAAAGCAGACACGCAGCAAACACUGGCUCCCCUCCCCUUCUCCCCACCUCAGCUCCUGGACAACUCUGUCCGGGCUAAGAGCUUGGAAGCAUGAGGACCCAAGGACUGCUGGCUUGAUACUGGUUGUCUCGUGCAUGUUAUCUUUUCUCUCACUCCUUUCUGCAAAAGGCAAACAGGAAUGAAAUGAUAACAGGCACAUCCACUGAAGCAAAACAGGUCACAGGAAGAAGAUAAUACACUCAAGGACAAAUAAAAAGUUGACUGUAGCUGGGCCCAGAACCGGUUGCCUGUACAAAGUGAGAAUUCCCUGAGAUAUAGAGGAAAGCUUUUGAAAAGCCAAUACUGAUGCAAGAAGAUACUUCAAUUCUCAACCUGUAUGGAAAAACCAACACUCUACUCAGAUCUCCCACACCAGGAAGGUGCCAUGCUCCCACCGGAUGCUCAGUGGAAGUAACUGACAAA